UUGAAUAAACUUGGUUGAGCUGCUGCUGGCUUCUCGAAGCAUGUGCACGCUUAAUCCAUUUUUAUAACCACCUGUGCACCUUGUGUAGAUCUGAGAAACUCGAGGAAACUCGGUUUGAGAAUUGCGAUGCGAAAGCAAGCUAUUCUUUACCCUCAGAUCUAUGUUUUCAAUAUACCCCAUAAAAGUAUUCGAAUGUUGUAAUGGGCCUCCGUGCCUUUAAAAUCUAAUA
rnacentral:misc_RNA from 1 species